GGCCCACAGAGGCUGAAUCCUACCUCUUUGAAGUUGAGGUUGCUUGCCCUUCCUCAUGUGUCACCAGUCUGAUUGUCUUCCCUGAUUCCUGAUCGUGUCCACCUGUUCCCACACUUCCCUUGUGUGUACUUAUAGUCUGCGUGUCUCCUUGUUCUGUUUCAGUGUGUCAUGUCCUUUCGCCUUGCACAUCCGCCUCAUGAAGGAAUUAAGUCCAGUUCAUAGUUUUGUUUAUCCCAAGCCAUGUUGUGGACUCCUUAGUUGGCUUUGUGCCGUUUAUCGCUCCACAGUUCCUUGAUUUAGUUAAGAGAUUUUUUUGUGAUUGAUUUUUUUUGUUAUUUCCCCUGUAAGAGAGAUUUUGGUUUUGCAUUUGUUUACUAUUCAGCUUUUUGUUUUGCCAGAGCAUUUCCCUGUUCAUCCCUCUUCGGAGAAUUUUUUUAUUCCCA
ensembl:lncRNA